rnacentral:tRNA from 1 species
GCCCUUAUAGCUCAGUUGGUAGAGCAGUUGCCUCUUAAGCAAACGGUCGUAGGUUCGAAUCCUACUGGGGGCACCA